rnacentral:rRNA from 1 species
CCUACGGGUGGCUGCAGUGGGGAAUAUUGGACAAUGGGGGGAACCCUGAUCCAGCCAUGCCGCGUGUGUGAAGAAGGCCCUCGGGUUGUAAAGCACUUUCAGUGAGGAAGAACGCCUGGUGGUUAAUACCCAUCAGGAAAGACAUCACUCACAGAAGAAGCACCGGCUAAACUCCGUGCCAGCAGCCGCGGUAAUACGGAGGGUGCGGGCGUUAAUCGGAAUUACUGGGCGUAAAGCGCGCGUAGGUGGCUUGAUAAGCCGGUUGUGAAAGCCCCGGGCUCAACCUGGGAACGGCAUCCGGAACUGUCAAGCUAGAGUGCAGGAGAGGAAGGUAGAAUUCCCGGUGUAGCGGUGAAAUGCGUAGAGAUCGGGAGGAAUACCAGUGGCGAAGGCGGCCUUCUGGACUGACACUGACACUGAGGUGCGAAAGCGUGGGUAGCAAACAGGAUUAGAUACCCUUGUAGUC